rnacentral:rRNA from 1 species
CGUAGGAGACGUAGCGUUAUCCGGAUUUACUGGGCGUAAAGCGUGUGCAGGCGGCUCGGCAAGUUGGAUGUGAAAUCUCCCGGCUCAACUGGGAGGGGUCGUUCAAAACUACCGAACGUUGAGGUCAUCAGAGGAAGGUGGAAUUCCGGGUGUAGUGGUGAAAUGCGUAGAUAUCCGGAGGAACACCAGUGGCGAAGGCGGCCUUCUGGGAUGAUCCUGACGCUCAGACACGAAAGCUAGGGGAGCGAACGGGAUUAGAGACCCCGGUAGUCCUAGCUGUAAACGAUGUAGACUUGGCGUCGGAGGGUUCAAAACCUUCGGUGUCGUAGCUAACGCGAUAAGUCUACCGCCUGGGGACUACGGCCGCAAGGUUA